GGCGGCGGCGCCGUGGGGAGGGCGGCGGCAGGUGCCUGCGGGAGCAGCCGCGCUCUGCCGCGCAGCCCCAGAGGCAUCUGGGCUGCGAAGUUUGCCCCCCUUCAACUCCGCUCGCGAAGCGGCCGGGCUCGCAGCCGGCUGCGGCGGGAGGGGGGCGGGAGGGGGGGAGGAGGGAUGGAGGGAGGGAGGGAGGGAUGGAUGGAUGGAGGGAGGGAGGGACGGGGAGGCGAGGCGAGGCGAGGCAAGGCAGGCGGCGGCGCUGAGCUCAGUUCACGCUCGGAGAGCGGCUUCACUCCUGCCCGCGGCGGAGGCGCUCCCCCACCCCCCACCCACCCUCCAUCUCCUCCUCCCCAGCCCUCCCGGUGGCAGCCCAGCAGCGGACACCCCUCGCCUUGGGGGUCCCCCGCGGGAGGUGCGGCUCUGCCGCUUUGUCUGUUCCAGCGCGGUGGAGGCGCCUUCACAACCCCCUACCCACCCACAGUCCCCCGACCCCUUUGUCUCGGCAGGACGCCCCUCCGCGCCCACCCUCCCGGAGCUCCCCCGCAGGCGGGGAGCGGGGCACAGCGUGGGGCUCAGUGCGGAGCCCGCAGCCCCCGCCCGUGGGUGCGGAGCGGAGCCGGCGCGGCCACAGCCCGGUGGCGGCGCGGGGCGCGCUGCUGCCGCCUGCCGGGCUCGGAGGGAGGUGCAGGGGGAAGCCGCCGGCCCAGCCUCCGCGGCAGCCGCCGCCGGCACCGGGGAGAGCUCCCGGAGAGCUCCGGGGAGGAGGUGGUCGCCCUGCCAGCCAAAGCUGAGCGCGGUGGAGGGGGAAGGUCUGGAGGGGCUGAUAUGGGAGGCUCGAGGGAUCCGGAGAAGAAGCCUGGAGGUGCAGGGCAACAUCACAAGAGGACCCUGGUGCAUCAGUCAGAUGUCUCCUGUACAACCCAUCUGAAGGAGCUGCAAGCAGUUUCUCAACCACAAGAGCAGUGUCCUGACAAAGAGAGGCAGAAGGAAAGAGGUCUUCCUCGUGAUGAAGCUCCAUUGCUGUGUUUGAAAAUCUGGUACACACAGUGCAGCUCAUAUAGCAGCUCUCAGCUAUAUGAUUAGCUCAGCUCAUUGAGAGUAGGGGAACAGCUUUCAUAGAUCAAGUUUUGCUUACUGGCUUAAAAAGUUUACCAAGUGGCAGUGUCAUAUUUUGUGUCUUGGCAGCCAGGUAACAGCAAACGAUGUUAUGGUCUGUAUAUGCUUCUUGAGGGAGAUCCAUUCCAUUUAUCUUUUUUGAGUGGUGAUUUUCUUCCACUAUAUAGCUGACAGAGACUUGAGAUAGAUUGAAUAUAAGGAGAUGAUAGCAGCAAGAUGUUAUUGUGCUAAAAGAAGAUACAUCCUGAAAAAAAUAUUAACUUUCAGACAACAAAAUAUUUUUAGUUUAGUUGUUAUAAUAACCCCAAACAGUCUUUAUUAUUUUUCAGAUUUACUAUCUCUUUCCAUUGAAGUUAAAUAAUGAAUAUUUAGGUUGUACAAUUUUUUAGGACAGGAAUUAGAUCUUGUAAUGGAAGCUAGCUAUAACAAAGCUAUAAAAAAAACUAUCAACUCAUCACAAAAACUGGGAAGUAAACCUCUUUCCUACUGUCACUAACCUAGCAGAGAGGUUUGAAGGUAGAUUAAGCUUUGAUCUUUAAUUAUGAAUCUUUUUUCUUUAUAGUAAUGAGCUCCUGAAUUUUCUGCCAAGCUGAUUCUUUUGAAGCAACAGUCUCUGAUUACUUUU
rnacentral:lncRNA from 1 species